CAACGCCGCGUGUGUGAGUGAAGGUUUUCGGAUCGUAAAGCACUUUCGAUCGGGACGAACACCCCUGAGCUAACAUCUCAGGGCCUGACGGUACCGGGAGAAGAAGCACCGGCUAACUCUGUGCCAGCAGCCGCGGUAAUACAGAGGGUGCAAGCGUUGUUCGGAAUUAUUGGGCGUAAAGCGCGUGUAGGCGGCUUUGCAAGUCGGGUGUGAAAGCCCUCAGCUUAACUGAGGAAGUGCGCCCGAAACUGCUUAGCUUGAGUACCGGAGAGGGUGGCGGAAUUCCCCAAGUAGAGGUGAAAUUCGUAGAUAUGGGGAGGAACACCGGUGGCGAAGGCGGCCACCUGGACGGAUACUGACGCUGAGACGCGAAAGCGUGGGGAGCAAACAGGAUUAGAUACCCUGGUAGUCCACGCCGUAAACGAUGAGAACUAGGUGUCGUGGGUGUUGACCCCCGCGGUGCCGUAGCUAACGCAUUAAGUUCUCCGCCUGGGAAGUACGGCCGCAAGGCUA
rnacentral:rRNA from 1 species